rnacentral:rRNA from 1 species
UACGUAGGGUGCGAGCGUUAAUCGGAAUUACUGGGCGUAAAGUGUGCGCAGGCGGCGCCGCAAGUCGAGUGUGAAAGCCCCGGGCUUAACUUGGGAAUUGCGCUCGAAACUAUGGUGCUCGAGUGUGGCAGAGGAAGGUGGAAUUCCAGGUGUAGCGGUGAAAUGCGUAGAGAUCUGGAGGAACACCGAUGGCGAAGGCAGCCUUCUGGGCCAACACUGACGCUCAUGCACGAAAGCGUGGGGAGCAAACAGG